GUCUGUAACAGUUUGGGUCUAGAGGCAGGGCAGGGCAGGAUGGAUAUAGGUCUGUAACAGUUUGGGUCUAGAGGCAGGGCAGGAUGGAUAUAGGUCUGUAACAGUUUGGGUCUAGAGGCAGGGCAGGAUGGAUAUAGGUCUGUAACAGUUUGGGUCUAGAGGCAGGGCAGGAUGGAUAUAGGUCUGUAACAGUUUGGGUCUAGAGGCAGGGCAGGAUGGAUAUAGGUCUGUAACAGUUUGGGUCUAGAGGCAGGGCAGGGCAGGAUGGAUAUAGGUCUGUAACAGUUUGGGUCUAGAGGCAGGGCAGGAUAGAUAUAGGUCUGUAACAGUUUGGGUCUAGAGGCAGGGCAGGGCAGGA
ensembl:lncRNA